CGGCAGGCCUAACACAUGCAAGUCGAGGGGCAGCGGGGAUAAGCUUGCUUAUCCGCCGGCGACCGGCGCACGGGUGCGCAACGCGUAUAGAAUCUGCCCUGUACUGGGGAAUAGCCCAGAGAAAUUUGGAUUAAUGCCCCAUGGUAUGUAUUAGCGGCAUCGCUUGUACAUUAAAGGCUACGGUACAGGAUGACUAUGCGUCCCAUUAGUUAGUUGGUAAGGUAACGGCUUACCAAGGCAGCGAUGGGUAGGGGCCCUGAGAGGGGGAUCCCCCACACUGGUACUGAGACACGGACCAGACUCCUACGGGAGGCAGCAGUGAGGAAUAUUGGACAAUGGGCGGGAGCCUGAUCCAGCCAUGCCGCGUGCAGGAAGACGGUCCUAUGGAUUGUAAACUGCUUUUGUACGGGAAGAACAAGGGGCACGUGUGCCCCUCUGACGGUACCGUAAGAAUAAGGAUCGGCUAACUCCGUGCCAGCAGCCGCGGUAAUACGGAGGAUCCGAGCGUUAUCCGGAAUCAUUGGGUUUAAAGGGUCCGUAGGCGGGCCAUUAAGUCAGGGGUGAAAGUCUGCGGCUCAACCGUAGAAUUGCCCUUGAUACUGGUGGUCUUGAGUUAUGGUGAAGUAACUAGAAUAUGUAGUGUAGCGGUGAAAUGCAUAGAUAUUACAUAGAAUACCGAUUGCGAAGGCAGGUUACUAACCAUAUACUGACGCUGAUGGACGAAAGCGUGGGGAGCGAACAGGAUUAGAUACCCUGGUAGUCCACGCCGUAAACGAUGGAUACUAGCUGUCCGGAUGCAAAUCUGGGCGGCCAAGCGAAAGUGAUAAGUAUCCCACCUGGGGAGUACGUCCGCAAGGAUGAAACUCAAAGGAAUUGACGGGGGCCCGCACAAGCGGUGGAGCAUGUGGUUUAAUUCGAUGAUACGCGAGGAACCUUACCAGGGCUUAAAUGUGGUCUGACAGCUUUAGAGAUAGAGCCUCCUUCGGGCAGAUCACAAGGUGCUGCAUGGUUGUCGUCAGCUCGUGCCGUGAGGUGUCAGGUUAAGUCCUAUAACGAGCGCAC
rnacentral:rRNA from 1 species